CCGAUGCUCCCCCAGCUUGGGCUUGGCGAGGACAGUUGGGGGCCGGCCGGAUCUCCCCUCCGGCUCUCCCUGCACCCCAAAAGAACGGCCCACCAAGCUGGGUGAAGCCCUUUGGGACCCGCAGUUACUUUUAUUGAUUUUCUUGAGACCUGACAGCCAAAAAAAAGGGGCGCGGUGCGCAGUGGAAAGAGGCCAGGCCCUGCAGAAAAUGCCAGGCAAACAGACCUCCCGAACAAAGGAGCGCACCCAACUUAGACACCCCCAGACUGCUUUGAAAUUCUUCCUGCCCUUGCAACGUCUGUUUCUUUGAAGGUGCACCUUUGGACCAAAGCCGUUGGUUUCUUCCAAAUCCAUCCGGUGAACCUGCCCCCACCUCCCGUAAACAAAGAAAAAGCCAGGGACUGACCCCAAGUUUCUAGGAGCAGCAGUGAGGUUGACAUAUUUCAGACAAAUCGCAGCAGCCAACUUCCUGUCCGGCCCCUUUUCCACGGAGAAACCCUCCCUCCACCCUUCCCGGGUCCAGGUGAAGAGAUUAAAACUCUACACGAGCCCCUACAUGGAAUGCUCAGCUGGGCGACAUUUUUUAAUAUUGCAUUACACUAUGAAUUUCUCUCUGUCCCCACGGAAACAUACCUCUAGUUCGGUGGAACGUGCCCAGCCCUUCUAUCUUGAACAGAAGAUCACAGUAUUUAAUGCUAAUUUCCUUGGGAUGGUGCUUACAAUACACCAGGUGAGGUUUUCAUAAUAUACUGUUACAAUACAGAUGUUAAACAGAGAAGGGGAAGUGUGCAAAUCCCAAACUGCAAGAGACAGCAGGGUUAUCAUCUUUAUAAAAGUUUCAGCACAAAAUACUAUCCGAACACUGAGGAGGAGCCGCUCAGCAGUUUCCCGCUGCCAGGAAGAGAAAUUCACAUGUUGAGGCGGUCCC
rnacentral:lncRNA from 1 species